ACGGCCGUACCAUGCUGAAUAUACCGGUUCUCGUUAGAUCACCGAAGUUAAGCAUCAAAAGUAUGAAGGUGGGUGACCACCUGGGAACACUGCGUGCCGUUG
rnacentral:rRNA from 1 species